rnacentral:rRNA from 1 species
AUUGAACGCUGGCGGCAGGCCUAACACAUGCAAGUCGAGCGAGCGGCGGACGGGGGAGUAAUGUGUGGGGAAUCCGCGCGAGGGGGGGAUAACUCCUGGAGACGGUAGAUAAUACCGCAUAUUCCAGGGUAACCCAUAUGGGAUUAGCGAGUAGGUGAGGUAAUGGCUCACCUAGGCGACGAUCCCUAGCUGGUCUGAGAGGAUGAGCAGCCACACUGGGACUGAGACACGGUCCAGACUCCUACGGAGGCAGCAGUGGGGAAUAUUGCACAAUGGGCGCAAGCCUGAUGCAGCCAUGCCGCGUGUAUGAAGAAGGCCUUAGGGUUGUAAAGUACUUUCAGUCGGGAGGCGUUACCGACAGAAGAAGCACCGGCUAACUCCGUGCCAGCAGCCGCGGUAAUUC